GUGCUUGCUUUGGCAGUACAUAUACUAAAAUUGGAACAAUACAGAGAAGAUUAGCAAGGCCCCUGCGCUCAAGGAUGACAUGCAAAUUUGUGAAGCUUUCCAUAUUUUU
rnacentral:snRNA from 1 species